UACGAACUGUGCGAACGUUACUCGGAAUCACUGGGCUUAAAGGGUGCGUAGGCGGCCCUUCAAGUCGGGUGUGAAAGUCUCCGGCCUAACCGGAGAAUUGCGCCCGAAACUAGAGGGCUUGAGUGCGCUAGGGGUGUGCGGAACUUCCGGUGGAGCGGUGAAAUGUGUUGAUAUCGGAAGGAACGCCGGUGGCGAAAGCGGCACACUGGGGCGCAACUGACGCUGAGGCACGAAAGCCAGGGGAGCGAACGGGAUUAGAAACCCCCGUAGUCC
rnacentral:rRNA from 1 species